rnacentral:rRNA from 1 species
AUAUCAAUAAGCGGAGGAAAAGAAACUAACAAGGAUUCCCCUAGUAACUGCGAGUGAAGCGGGAAAAGCUCAAAUUUAAAAUCUGGCGGUCUCCGGCCGUCCGAGUUGUAGUCUAGAGAAGUGUUAUCCGCGCUGGACCGUGUACAAGUCUCCUGGGAUGGAGCGUCAUAGAGGGUGAGAAUCCCGUCUUUGACAUGGACCGCCAGUGCUGAUGGUGCGCUCUCGAAGAGUCGAGUUGUUUGGGAAUGCAGCUCAAAAUGGGUGGUGAACUCCAUCUAAAGCUAAAUAUUGGCGAGAGACCGAUAGCGCACAAGUA